UGUACCAGUUGUCUUGCCAAAGGCAUAGCUGGGUAGCUACGUGCGGACGGGAUAAGUGCUGAAAGCAUCUAAGCAUGAAGCCCCCCUCAAGAUGAGAUUUCCUUUUACUUCGGUAAGUAAGAUCCCUGAAAGAUGAUCAGGUAGAUAGGUUCGAGGUGGAAGCAUGGCGACAUGUGGAGCUGACGAAUACUAAUCGAUCGAGGACUUAACCCAA
rnacentral:rRNA from 1 species